AAAGCAGUGAAACAGUUUGCCUCCCUGAGUUGUGUGCGCUCCAUUGUGGAGAUUUUCAAGAAAACAUUGGACAAUCAUUUGUUGGUAGAAGGAACCCUGCUUUUGGAGUUGGACUAGGAGACCCUUCAACCUGAGGAUUCCAAUUCCCUCUGUGCUUUGUGCCACAACAAUGAUCGCACUUCUUUUGAACAGACAGCUUCCUACAUGAAAGGCAGAGGCCAAAGGCCACCAACAGUCAGCCGCUGGGUUGCCCUGUCAUUUCUAUUCCAAAAUGAUCUGCUCUCCUUGUGUAGGUUCAAAAUAUAGUCAUUAUUUCCCCAGUUGCCAAGGGAAUGAGGUUGUGAGUUUGCCUUUAAAACCACCAGCCAGUGCACAGCUGCCCAUUCUUGCUUCAUGAAAUGACAACACCUAGCGUGGCUAUGGCAGCAUGAAGGCUUUUCAGAUUAAGUGUGGCCAUCUCAGAUGCCAAGAAACUGGUAGUAGGGGAGAAAGUCAUGCUUCCCAACUCUUCUGACUGGCUCACGUUUAUUUCUCUUCUCUUCUCAGAAAUCUCUCAGGUGUUCCUUUUCUGUUGUAUGAACACAACGUAG